rnacentral:rRNA from 1 species
AUGGUUUCAGCUGCCUCCGACAGGGAGAUGUUUGCACAGUUGUGGUUUCUGAAUCUCAUGCUCAAAUCGGUGCAUGCCCACCCUUUAGCUACAAUGUUUGGGUUACUUACUACAGUUGAUCAGGUGGUAAUAAGCUGUACUCUUUGGGAAGCUCAGGUCUGUACAGGAUACUUGUGUACCGGAGUGCCAUUGUUGUAUAUUCCUUUUUCUUCUAGUUAUUUCGCAAAGCGUGUGAAUUUUAGGUGGACACUCGGAGUACAUAUUUUUAUUUAUCAGACUGGUGUUUUGAUUAAUUUAUAG